GAAGGGGGUUCUGCAGCAGAUACCAACACACCUGACGGGGCUGAAACGGGUGAGAGACAAGGAGAGGACAUUGCCUGAGAGCAAAAAGUGGAAAACAAAGGCGAAGGACAGGAGGAUGAGGGAGGCACUUCUCAGCAUCAAUCCUCAAUACUUCCCGCGGAAGGUGUCGAAAGCCUUAACGAUACAUGUACGUCGAUGAAAUCUACCACUGAGAAGAUUUGCUUAAGCUGGCCUUUGGCUGUUCCUAUGUCAACGCCUAGGCAGCAAAGCAAUACUUUUACAAGGAGCGAAGACCUUAGCUCAAGCAAUAGAGAAAUUCA